UAAUGGGUUUCCUCGUUGUCUCCCCUUUCCAGGCGUUGGGGCUGACCCCAUUGGAGGAUGCCGGGCCCCCAAAAGCGGUGCUGGGACCACUUCCCGUCCAGAGGGUCCCGCUCUCCACCAUGCAAAGCCCGCAGGCUGUCACCUGGUCCUCCCAGGCGGCCGGAGAGUUUGCCGGACAUCAUGUCGACCUUAGAGCGGCUCUCCAGCCACGGCCGGAGAGAGCUGCUGCUGUCCUUCUUCCAGGCCCAUGAGGGUGAUCUGUCCCGAGCGCUGGACAGCCCCGGCCUUAGCCCCAGGGACGUCCACACUCUGCUGCGGGCGGUCAGGCGUGUUCUGGAGGGGCCUCCGGGAGCACGGGAAGUCCAGCCGGUGCUGGAGCUGGUCCUGAGUCCGGCCUUUGUGCUCCGGAGUCUGCUGGGCUUCAUCGCCAGCCUGGAGGCCUUCCGCUGCCCGGACGGAGAGGUCUCUCGGGAGGUGAUGGGGGACACGGUGGCCACUCUCCACCACUUGCUAGAGGCAUCCCCAGAAAAGGCACAGACUUUGCUCUGCUACCCGGUGGACCUCCUCUGCACCGCGGUCCAGAGGCUCCAGAGCCGCGGCCUCCUCUUCGCCUGGGUCACCCAGAAGCAGCUCAGGGACACCAAGGCGCUGCUGGACAUGGCCUUCCUGGGGUCGAGCGGACCCCAGGGAGCCGCCCUUGAGUCUCUGGCCAGUCGGGACAACUUCUGCCUCGUCCCGGUCUUCCCCACACCAGAGGAUAUAUUCCUGGAGCCCACCGCAACCCUCAAGCCCAACCUCGUGUCCGGCAGGUACAAAAGUGACCGCUCCUACCUGGACACCCACUUCCGGCUCUUGCGGGAGGACCUGGUCAAGCCCUUGCGGGAUGGCAUCUCCUCACGCUUCGCCCUCCGCAGCCUCUUCUCCGACCCACAGAAGCCGCCCAGUGAGCUGCGCCUCUACCGCAACGUCCAGCUGUCCGGCGUGGGUGCCUCCCGGGCCGGCGUGACCUUUCUGGCCACCUUCCAGGGCAAGUCGGGCUUGGCGGCCACGAAGUCCCUGCUGAGCGGCUCCCUGGUGUGCCUGCUCUCCGAGGACGAUGACGGCCAGGUGCUCUUUGGGACAGUGUCCGGGUCCCGCCACCAGGAAGGGUCGGUGUGGCUGGACAUCAAGCAGAGUCAUGCCAGGCUCCUGCGUCUCCUGGGCCGAGCCACCUUCACCAUGGCCGAGUCGCCUGCCUUCUUUGAGUCCUACCGGCACGUGUUGCAGGGCCUGCAGGAGAUGGAGGCCGACCCGGUGCCCUUCCGGAAGUACCUGGUCAAGUGCCGACGGGAGGUCUCCCCACCGGCGUACUUGCAGGAGGAGGGGGACGGGCCAGGAAUGGUAACCUUUGACCUCAGCGCCCUGCAUCCCCCCAAGGACAAGCGCACCACUGCCAAUGCUCUCAUCAAAGUUGGCUUCCCAUCAUCUCCUGAGGCCAGUGCGGACCGGCCCGAGGUAGGCGCAUGGGAGACCCCCAGAGGCCAGUUCACAACCCUCCAACUGUUGCAGGGCCGGACAUGAACAUAUUCCUAUGCACACGGCACAUCUCUUAUUUAUACAAACAGUCCCCAAGUUACAAAAACAUGACUUACAAACACUCACAGUCAGAGCCGGCCCUAGGUAUUUUUCAAGUGUAGGGAAACAGAAUUUUGGUGCCCCCCCC
rnacentral:lncRNA from 11 species